rnacentral:rRNA from 1 species
AGCGAACGCUGGCGGCAGGCUUAACACAUGCAAGUCGAGCGGGCAUAGCAAUAUGUCAGCGGCAGACGGGUGAGUAACGCGUGGGAACGUACCUUUUGGUUCGGAACAACACAGGGAAACUUGUGCUAAUACCGGAUAAGCCCUUACGGGGAAAGAUUUAUCGCCGAAAGAUCGGCCCGCGUCUGAUUAGCUAGUUGGUGAGGGAAUGGCUCGCCAAGGCGACGAUCAGUAGCUGGUCUGAGAGGAUGAUCAGCCACAUUGGGACUGAGACACGGCCCAAACUCCGACGGGAGGCAGCAGUGGGGAAUAUUGGACAAUGGGCGCAAGCUUGAUCCAGCCAUGCCGCGUGAGUGAUGAAGGCCCUAGGGUUGUAAAGCUCUUUUGUGCGGGAAGAUAAUGACGGUACCGCAAGAAUAAGCCCCGGCUAACUUCGUGCCAGCAGCCGCCGUAA